AUGGACUGGCUUCCACCAAUUGGAGUUUCGCGCAUUUCAGAUGGUGGUAAAGUGAUACCACAUAAGGAGCUCUUCCUCAUUCAGUCAUACUCAACAAAAAGCAUACUCGGUAGAAAGGAGGUGGCGGAGCUGGGAAGAGGAUUAGACUUUAUCGAUUACUUGGACUUAGAGACCAAUUAUAGAAAGAAGACAGUAGCUGAGAAAAAUCCUUAUGUUGGUAAAAUAUACGUGUUGAUCAAGGACAAUGAAGCAGCCAUGAAAAGAUUGAAGAACGAGGUAGAAGAUACUGAGUUGUUCAGAUGUUUACAGGAAAUCCAUGGGAAAAGCUACCACAACUUUGUAUUAAGAAAGCAGGUUCCAGUCGUUGGUAAUUUCAGGGAAGCCUACAUUGGCAUUUCUCCUGAGUUAGCCAAAGAGAUCGCGGAAGAAGUGGAUGUUAUCGUAAACUCUGCAGCAAAUACCACUUUUGAUGGGAGGUAUGAUGUAGCACUAGACAUCAACACCAUGGGGCCAUACCGGAUAAUGAGUUUCGCGCAGCGGUUUCGAAGACUGAAGCUCUUCUUGCAAGUAUCAACAGAGGCAAGGUUUGAUACUAGAGAAGCCAUUUUGCUUAGGGGAUACCAUAACAAAGGGGAUAGGUUCCUCAUAUUUUUCGGCACAUCAGAAUACCGUGUUGGAUAUCGAGGCUGA
rnacentral:rRNA from 1 species